AUUGAACGCUGGCGGAAUGCUUUACACAUGCAAGUCGAACGGCAGCACGGGGGGCAACCCUGGUGGCGAGUGGCGAACGGGUGAGUAAUACAUCGGAACGUGCCCAGUCGUGGGGGAUAACGUAGCGAAAGCUACGCUAAUACCGCAUACGAUCUACGGAUGAAAGCGGGGGACUCGCAAGGGCCUCGCGCGAUUGGAGCGGCCGAUGGCAGAUUAGGUAGUUGGUGGGGUAAAGGCUCACCAAGCCAACGAUCUGUAGCUGGUCUGAGAGGACGACCAGCCACACUGGGACUGAGACACGGCCCAGACUCCUACGGGAGGCAGCAGUGGGGAAUUUUGGACAAUGGGCGAAAGCCUGAUCCAGCCAUUCCGCGUGCAGGAUGAAGGCCCUCGGGUUGUAAACUGCUUUUGUACGGAACGAAACGCGCUGAGCUAAUACCUCGGCGUAAUGACGGUA
rnacentral:rRNA from 1 species